GACGAACGCUGGCGGCGUGCUUAACACAUGCAAGUCGAGCGGAGCGGCGAACGGGUGAGUAACGCGUGAGUAACUUACCCCCUCUCUGGGAUAACAGUUGGCAACGGCUGCUAAUACCGGAUAGUGGGGGGUGACUCGUGUCCUAUCAGCUUGUUGGUUGGGUAGUGGCCUACCAAGGUGCCGACGGGUGGCCGGCCUGAGAGGGCGACCGGCUACAUUGGGCCUAGAUACGGCCCGAAGUCCUACGGGGGGCAGCAGGGGGGAAGAUUGCACAAUGGGGGAAACCCUGAUGCAGCAGCGCCGCGGGCGGGAUGACGGCCUUCGGGUUGUAAACUGCUUUCAGCCAUGACGCGGUAGUGGCAGAAGAAGCACCGGCUAACUACGUGCCAGCAGCCGCGGUAAUUC
rnacentral:rRNA from 1 species